rnacentral:rRNA from 1 species
AUUGAACGCUGGCGGCAGGCCUAACACAUGCAAGUCGAGCGAGCGGCGGACGGGUGAGUAAUGUAUGGGGACUGCCCGAUAGAGGGGGAUAACUACUGGAAACGGUGGCUAAUACCGCAUACUAUCGGAUAACCCAUAUGGGAUUAGCUAGUAGGUGGGGUAAAGGCUCACCUAGGCGACGAUCUCUAGCUGGUCUGAGAGGAUGAUCAGCAAAACGGGGACGGAGACACGGCCAAGACUCCUACGGAGGAAGCAGGGGGGAAUAUUGCACAAUGGGAGCAAGCCUGAUGCAGCCAUGCCGCGUGUAUGAAGAAGGCCUUAGGGUUGUAAAGUACUUUCAGCGAGGAGGCGUUACUCGCAGAAGAAGCACCGGCUAACUCCGUGCCAGCAGCCGCGGUAAUAC